UACGUAGGGGGCAAGCGUUGUCCGGAUUUAUUGGGCGUAAAGAGCGUGUAGGCGGUUUGGUAGGUCCGCUGUGAAAACUCGAGGCUCAACCUCGAGACGCCGGUGGAAACCAUCAGACUAGAGUCCGGAAGAGGAGAGUGGAAUUCCUGGUGUAGCGGUGAAAUGCGCAGAUAUCAGGAAGAACACCCGUGGCGAAGGCGGGUCUCUGGGCCGAUAUCGACGCUGAGGAGCGAAAGCGUGGGGAGCGAACAGG
rnacentral:rRNA from 1 species